UAGGUCAGUGAAAUCUAAAAGUCAUGUUGUAAAGUGAUUAAAAACAUCAUGUGGCCUUUGCAGGAGACGGCAGCUACAGCGUCCCGGAGGACCAAACUGAAACCCAAAGAAGAAGCAGCAUAUUUUCAUCCAUCCUUAAAGAUAAGGAUGGAUUUGAAAUAAAAUAUAUAAAUGCAUUUAAAGGUAACACAGUCCCAUGUUUAAGUAUUGUUUUAAAUUUGCCCCUUUUCCUGACUAACGUGUCCUUUGAUAGGUCAAGGAGUGUUCAGUUGUCGCCACUUCCAAAAAGGGGACUUCCUUGUUGAAUACAGAGGAGAAUUCCUUAAUAAACAACAAUAUGAAAGAAGGCACAGAGUUUAUCAUCGUGCACUUGAAGUAUUUUUCUUUGAAUUGCGCUAUAAUAUGGUAAGUAUAUUACAGUACCUCAUUUACAAUGUCUUGGAAAAUGUACAAAGCUGUAGGUCAACCAGAGAUACAAAGUCAGCUUUUUCUGACUCUAUUCCAGUAGCAGUAAUGAUGAACUAGGAUGAAGACUGGCCGGAAACAUGAUGUAAUUAUUCAGUGAAACCUGCGAUGACUUAUGAGAUUCAGUCAGUGUUAUUACAGCAUGCAGUUAGUGUUGUGUUCUUGCUGUUUCAGGAUUGAUGCUGCCAGAGAUGAUGAUUCUUUGGGCAGACUUGUGAAUGAUGACCACAAGAACCCCAACAGUAAAAUGAGAAUGAUCACUGUGGACCGGAAGCCCCAUCUCUGCUCAUUCGCAGUAAAGGACAUCAGUCCCGGGGAGGAGAUAACGGAUAACUACGGGGAUUCUGACUGGCCAUGGAGAAGCAAGGUGCUGAAUUCCUGCUUUUGUGUUCUGCAACAGAUUGCCCUCUCACAGAAUGUGGGCAUCUAUCCAGUUGUGACACGGUUACCUCCUAUUUGUGCACAUCCCCUGGACAGCUUACCUGUAUCCUGAAAUUAGCAGCAAGGAUGCUGUGGUCUUCCCAUCUUAUGUGCCAGGACACUGGAUGCUGUGUAGAAAUUGCUCAGAGCCUCUGUCCUGGGCCAUGGACCGAAUUCUUCUCUGAGGACCUUGAGGAUGUUCCUCGACAAGAGCUGUCUUGUAGCUGUGGAGUCUUCACACUAAUGUAUGCUCUCUAUAUCACCCUGGGGGGAACGUUUGACUUCUCAGAGUCAGACAUGCCAAGUAUUAGAAGAUGGUGGUCUGCCCUUUUGCUGGAGAUGUUCCCACCGAGAUCAUUCACAAAAAGCCAGCAAAGAAAAAAGAGGCGAAUCAGGGCUGACAAGGGACAAGACACUGUUGCAACCAGUGACACACCCCUGAACAUACAGCAGGCAUGUAUUUGCCAUUUUAUUCAAUCUUUAAACUGCAGUUGGAUUAUUAUGACCACAACAUUUGUUCCUCUACAGCUUCCUCUGCUAGUUCUUGGAGCAAUCUUGCUGGAAGUUGUGGUUCAUGAUGGUGAUGUUGCAAUCCGCACCCUUUUGCCCUCACAUACAGUUGCUUCUACAACAUUGUGUGCAUGGAAAGUUUCCGGCGAGAGGCUUACUUUCGGUGGUUGGACAGUAGGUUUUAUUAGUGUCUUAUUACCCUUCCCAUCUUUCUUGAUAUCAUUGUUAGGUAAAUGCCAGCUCUGUUUGUUUCUUUCACAAUUUACAUAUAACAUUGGUCAGUACAUUGUUGCACUUUAAAGGCAGUUGCCUGGGAAUGAGAUCAGCUGGAUUUUUGUAUACAUUUAUCAGGUGUGGUGAACUGGAAGGCAUUUAGUGAGAACUUCAGAACCCUGUACAGGAUUUGCCAUGCGUUUGCUUAACAUAAAUAAAAUACAUAGUCCUCUCGCUCUCUGUUGCUCGUUUUCUGUGCUAUUUAAAUAUUUUGAAGCGCAACAAUAUAAUACUUACUGUUAAGGCAUGAUGGAUGAAACAUGGUUAUGAAUGAUUAAAGAUCAUAGUUUUCUUUGAAUAGACUAUGCUGAAUAUUUCUUUUUUUAUUUUUUUAUUUUGUCACAAUAAAUAGUUUAAAGCCUUUUACAUGUUUUAUCUGUCUGACUGAAUUACAAUAAUACUGA